GUAUCACCCCUCACGUCGCCUGGUCUUUUUGAAGGCUACCACGGCCCCCCGGGUGCCGUCCACGGCGCUGGCUCUGCAGAACUUCGACAUGAACUACAGCUUGCAGUUCAAGGACGCCUGGCCUUCAAUCCGGGUCAGCCUUCUGUCGGAGCAGAAAUACGGGGCCCUUGUCAACAACUUCGCCGACGUUGAGCGUGUCACCCGGGAGCUGGAGCAGUUAGAUGCUGUGGAUUUUAUUUCUGAAGCCUCCCGAAAGGCACGACGUUUGCAGCAGGAUUCGGUUGCGGAACGAGCAGAGAGGGAGGAAAGCACGUCCCAGGAAGCACCCGGCGAAUGCCAGAACGCCGUGCAAGCGGCAGAGGCACCACCGCCGCUUUCUGCCCCCAUCACCUCCAAUAUCAAGUGUUACACGUUCCCCAGAGGAGAUGUCACUCGCUUUCGUCCUGCUCGGCCAGACACUCUGGGAAUCCUCAGCUAUUACCUCAUGGAUGCAGCGUCUCUUUUGCCUGUUUUAGCACUUAAUGUUCAACCUGAUGAAUUUGUCCUUGACCUCUGUGCAGCUCCAGGUGGCAAGACUCUGGGUAUCCUGCAGACGGGGUUUUGCGGGUAUCUUGCAGCCAAUGAUGUUUCUGUUUCUCGCACAAAGAGACUGUACCAGAUUCUCAAUAGCUAUGUUCCCAAGCAAAUUAGGGAAACUGUUUGCAUCACUUCAUGGGAUGGAAGGAACUGGGGGGAACGGGAAGGUGGAACUUUCCAUAAGGUCCUUGUGGAUGUGCCCUGCACGACUGACAGGCACUCUGUCAUGGAGGAGGAGAACAACAUCUUCAACAGAAGGAGAUCCAAGGAACGUCAGAUGUUGCCAAUGCUGCAGUUGCAGCUGCUGGUAAAGAGCAACCUGAGGUCCUUUGAAGAAGAGAUUCUUAAGGAAGCUGUGGAGGUGGAGAUGUCCUUGUGAUGCUCGAGAUGUGCUGGUGGAAGGAAUGCAAUGCUGUGGCAAGACCUGCUUCAGUGUCCUGUCCCAGGGGUCAUCACAGUAUCCUUGAUAAAGCUUCAGCUCUUCUUCAUCAGCUUCUGUCACUGUGCUGACAGGUACAACCCCAGCAGGGAAGUUCAAGACAUUGUACAACAUCGUGGAGGAGAUAGCGGCUGAGAGAAGCAAAAGAAAGAUUGCAGGCCCUGGGGGACUGCAGUCUGAUGUGGAGAAUCACCGAAAAUGGAGGUGACAGACCAGACGCUGUUUUCCAUUCCCCCAUCCCAGGCAGGCCUGAAACAAGACUUCUUUGGUUAUCUCACACUUGCUGCUACCUUUUUGAUCCUGUUAGUUGAGAACAACCCAAUUGGACAGGAAGAGAGAAAACAAGAAGGAAGAGAGAAACCUACAAAAGGAUGCUCCUGGUGAAGGUGCUACAGUGAGCAUUAACCCUUAUUAACCGUGAGGAAUUGCCAUGAAAAUGAGCUCUUUGGAAAGCCUCAAACACAGGGCUAGAGCUUCACACUCCAGUCUGCCUGCUGCAGUGUUUCCCAGUUGCAUGAAUCAAUAGGAAACUGGGCACUGCUAGGUCUAGUGUUUGAAGAACUGCUUCCUGUGGGCUCUGAAAUAUUAUUUUACAACUCUUGGCUGGUCCUGUUCUCAUUUCCUUUUGGUACUACGUAAAUCCGAGCAAGAUGCCAGAAAA